rnacentral:rRNA from 1 species
CGACGGGUGAGUAACACGUAUCCAACCUGCCGUCUACUCUUGGCCAGCCUUCUGAAAGGAAGAUUAAUCCAGGAUGGGAUCAUGAGUUCACAUGUCCGCAUGAUUAAAGGUAUUUCCGGUAGACGAUGGGGAUGCGUUCCAUUAGAUAGUAGGCGGGGUAACGGCCCACCUAGUCAACGAUGGAUAGGGGUUCUGAGAGGAAGGUCCCCCACAUUGGAACUGAGACACGGUCCAA